rnacentral:rRNA from 1 species
CGGCAGCGCGAGAGAGCUUGCUCUCUUGGCGGCGAGUGGCGGACGGGUGAGUAAUAUAUCGGAACGUGCCCAGUAGCGGGGGAUAACUACUCGAAAGAGUGGCUAAUACCGCAUACGCCCUACGGGGGAAAGGGGGGGAUCGCAAGACCUCUCACUAUUGGAGCGGCCGAUAUCGGAUUAGCUAGUUGGUGGGGUAAAGGCUCACCAAGGCAACGAUCCGUAGCUGGUUUGAGAGGACGACCAGCCACACUGGGACUGAGACACGGCCCAGACUCCUACGGGAGGCAGCAGUGGGGAAUUUUGGACAAUGGGGGAAACCCUGAUCCAGCCAUCCCGCGUGUAUGAUGAAGGCCUUCGGGUUGUAAAGUACUUUUGGCAGAGAAGAAAAGGUAUCCCCUAAUACGGGAUACUGCUGACGGUAUCUGCAGAAUAAGCACCGGCUAACUACGUGCCAGCAGCCGCGGUAAUACGUAGGGUGCAAGCGUUAAUCGGAAUUACUGGGCGUAAAGCGUGUGUAGGCGGUUCGG